UAAAAAAAGGUAAGCUACUAAGAGCGAAUGGUGGAUGCCUUGACUGGUAAAGGCGAUGAAGGACGUACUAGACUGCGAUAAGCUACGGGGAGCUGUCAAGAAGCUUUGAUCCGUAGAUUUCCGAAUGGGGCAACCCAAUGUAUAGAGAUAUACAUUACCUAUAUAGGAGCGAACGAGGGGAAUUGAAACAUCUUAGUACCCUCAGGAAAAGAAAUCAAUAGAGAUUGCGUCAGUAGCGGCGAGCGAAAGCGCAAGAGGGCAAACCCAGUGCUUGCACUGGGGGUUGUAGGACUGCAAUGUGCAAGAGCUGAGUUUAGCAGAACAUUCUGGAAAGUAUAGCCAUAGAGGGUGAUAGUCCCGUAUGCGAAAAACAAAGCUUAGCUAGCAGUAUCCUGAGUAGGGCGGGACACGAGGAAUCCUGUCUGAAUCCGGGUCGACCACGAUCCAACCCUAAAUACUAAUACCAGAUCGAUAGUGCACAAGUACCGUGAGGGAAAGGUGAAAAGAACUGAGGUGAUCAGAGUGAAAUAGAACCUGAAACCAUUUGCUUACAAUCAUUCAGAGCACUAUGUAGCAAUACAGUGUGAUGGACUGCCUUUUGCAUAAUGAGCCUGCGAGUUGUGGUGUCUGGCAAGGUUAAGCAAACGCGAAGCCGUAGCGAAAGCGAGUCUGAAUAGGGCGCUUAGUCAGAUGCUGCAGACCCGAAACGAAGUGAUCUAUCCAUGAGCAAGUUGAAGCUAGUGUAAGAACUAGUGGAGGACUGAACCCAUAGGCGUUGAAAAGCCCCGGGAUGACUUGUGGAUAGGGGUGAAAGGCCAAUCAAACUUCGUGAUAGCUGGUUCUCUCCGAAAUAUAUUUAGGUAUAGCGUUGUGUCGUAAUAUAAGGGGGUAGAGCACUGAAUGGGCUAGGGCAUACACCAAUGUACCAAACCCUAUCAAACUCCGAAUACCUUAUAUGUAAUCACAGCAGUCAGGCGGCGAGUGAUAAAAUCCGUCGUCAAGAGGGAAACAACCCAGACUACCAGCUAAGGUCCCUAAAUCUUACUUAAGUGGAAAACGAUGUGAAGUUACUUAAACAACCAGGAGGUUGGCUUAGAAGCAGCCAUCCUUUAAAGAAAGCGUAAUAGCUCACUGGUCUAGUGAUUUUGCGCGGAAAAUAUAACGGGGCUAAAGUAAGUACCGAAGCUGUAGACUUGCACACAACUUAGAUUAUUUAAGUUUAGAAUAAGUAGUUUAAGUUGUGUGCAAGUGGUAGGAGAGCGUUCUAUUUGCGUCGAAGGUAUACCGGUAAGGAGUGCUGGAGCGAAUAGAAGUGAGCAUGCAGGCAUGAGUAGCGAUAAUUAAUGUGAGAAUCAUUAACGCCGUAAACCCAAGGUUUCCUACGCGAUGCUCGUCAUCGUAGGGUUAGUCGGGUCCUAAGUCGAGUCCGAAAGGGGUAGACGAUGGCAAAUUGGUUAAUAUUCCAAUACCAACAUUAGUGUGCGAUGGAAGGACGCUUAGGGCUAAGGGGGCUAGCGGAUGGAAGUGCUAGUCUAAGGUUGUAGGAGGUUAUACAGGCAAAUCCGUAUAACAAUACUCCGAGAACUGAAAGGCUUUUUGAAGUCUUCGGAUGGAUAGAAGAACCCCUGAUGCCGUCGAGCCAAGAAAAGUUUCUAAGUUUAGCUAAUGUUGCCCGUACCGUAAACCGACACAGGUGGGUGGGAUGAGUAUUCUAAGGCGCGUGGAAGAACUCUCUUUAAGGAACUCUGCAAAAUAGCACCGUAUCUUCGGUAUAAGGUGUG
rnacentral:rRNA from 1 species